UCUGGCGGUGCCGCUUGGUCCGUGGAGCGUACGCUGCCGCGCUCCAGUCGCCUUAGGCCUGGGGCUUCCUCGGGUGUUUCCGGGUGGCCGACCUCCAAGUUACCCUCGAUCCCCUCUCCCUCAUCUCCAGAUACACUAGGGUUUCAUAACACCACUGCUGUUACUCCCAAACGCUGAUAGAGCCGUUUGCCCCAAAUAAGAUUUAGAUCGUAAACUCAUUACUUAAUCCUCGAGAACGGUUAGACUGGAACUAAAGCAUCGUGUUGUUUACAGACGAGCUUCAGAGUUGCUCCCAAGGUCACUGAGCUGUGGGUGACCAAACUGCCACCAGAUUGUGCCCGCCCACGUCUCACACUACGGAAAAGCCCGAUCCUGGAAAGUCGGCCCAACUCUGGCUGGUUUCCCGCCUCUCACCCAAACUGCAGGAUUUGGCAGAGAAGGGUGUCGUCAUCAUCCCGGACUCUUGAAAGGUUUAAUAGAAACUCAAAUGCAAAUGAGACCGGCCAGGCCAUCUGGACGCUCACCUUUACCGAAUAACAGUAAAAAGAAAUUUCUGAAAAGAAUUAUUUUUAAUUCUGGGCCCCCAAACAAAUGCCAGGAAGGGAAAACAGAGCCUCAAGAAUAAUUCACUACUGGGAGAGAAAUACCGCAAUCCUGCUCGAAAAAUCGCUAACCCCUCCCUCUCUGGAACAAUUCUAGAACCACAUGAAGCUGUCAGAGGGACAUGUCAAUAUUUCUUGGUGGGGACAAGGAAUGGAGAUCAUACGUUGUGUCCCAUCUUACAGUGGUGCCUUCCGUUGCCCAAAGCCCCUGGGAAACCUGAGGACAAGAGAGCUGAGUGAUGCAAGCUUAGAGUCAGCCUCACAGCAACAGAAUAGGGCAGAGAAGACCAGAAAACUGAUUCAGGGCUGUGUUAUCCAAUAAAGCAGCCACUGGACAAACACAA